UGAUGCUAUCCCUCCUUCGAAAUUGCGGUGCUGAGAUGAUGAUAAGGUAGAAGCUUGUGUGGAAUAAGGCUGCAGCCAAAACGGAAUGAAUAUUUGUUUUCUUUGAACUGGAACGGCAACAGUGGCAGCAUAGACGAUCGUCUCGAACAUGACGACUGCAACGAACCGACAUGGAACCGCGGACAAUAACUUAAAUAACAACUAUGCAUAAGCACAAAUAUA